rnacentral:rRNA from 1 species
GGGAAUCUACCCUGAACUGCGGGAUAGCUCCGGGAAACUGGAAUUAAUACCGCAUGUGCCCUGAGGGGCAAAGAUUUAUCGGUUCAGGAUGAGCCCGCGUCCGAUUAGCUAGUUGGUGGGGUAAAGGCCUACCAAGGCGACGAUCGGUAGCUGGUCUAAGAGGAUGAUCAGCCACAUUGGGACUGAGACACGGCCCAAACUCCUACGGGAGGCAGCAGUGGGGAAUAUUGGACAAUGGGCGCAAGCCUGAUCCAGCCAUGCCGCGUGAGUGAUGAAGGCCCUAGGGUUGUAAAGCUCUUUCACCGGGGACGAUAAUGACGGUACCCGGAGAAGAAGCCCCGGCUAACUUCGUGCCAGCAGCCGCGGUAAUACGAAGGGGGCUAGCGUUGUUCGGAAUUACUGGGCGUAAAGCGCACGUAGGCGGACAUUUAAGUCAGGGGUGAAAUCCCGGGGCUCAACCCCGGAACGGCCUUUGAUACUGGGUGUCUUGAGUUCGGAAGAGGUGAGUGGAAUUGCGAGU